rnacentral:tmRNA from 1 species
GGGGAUGUAAAGGUUUCGACGGGGAUUUUGAAGUACUGGAAGCGAGCAGCGGUGCGGAACCGCUUUAAAAUCCGUAUAAAAAAUUAACUAACAACAAUAAAGUUGCUUUAGCUGCCUAAUUAAGGCGGCUCAUCUGACCUGAGAAUACCACGGCUCAGGCUCGGGUGUCAUUUUAGUGGUGAACGUGAACAGCGGCUUGCUCCUGCUGCUGUCACGCAUUGGGAGCUACCAAAUAAAGCAGUCCGACACUUGACGGCUUUAUAAGGGAAUUUAAAGAUGUGUCUGCGCUCGGAGACGCCGGUAUGAAUAGAUUUUCGGACAGGAGUUCGAUUCUCCUCAUCUCCACCA